rnacentral:rRNA from 1 species
UACAGAGGGGGCAAGCGUUGUUCGGAAUUAUUGGGCGUAAAGAGCUCGUAGGCGGUCUGUCGCGUCUGCCGUGAAAACCCGAGGCUUAACCUCGUGGCUUGCGGUGGAUACGGGCAGACUAGAGGUAGGUAGGGGAGAAUGGAAUUCCCGGUGUAGCGGUGAAAUGCGCAGAUAUCGGGAAGAACACCCGUGGCGAAGGCGGUUCUCUGGGACGGUACUGACGCUGAGACGCGAAAGCAUGGGGAGCGAACAGG